GAAAUGAUGAGAAGCCGUGUUUAAAAAAUCGUCGAUUUUCGAUCCAGAUCAAAGAUCUUCUUAAGCCAUUUGGUUCUUAUAAUAUAUCGGGAAUUGGUCGAGUCUUCUCUAAAACUAGAUGGUUUGGAUCGGUCUGUACUGAUUCUCUUACGAAGCUAGACCGGUCUAUUAGAGCAUCGGUACAUCGUUUUAAGAAGUUUGAAUUUUUUUUUUACUAAAAAGAGGUGGCAAUGGGUCCACCCUCCAUUAUAAUUUUUAAAAAAAGAAUUAAAGAGAAGUGGCCAACCCUCUACUUCCUUUUUUACCCAAAGACUUUUUUUAUUACUUGUUAGGAAUGGCUUACAACCUUUAUGAUGAGUAGCUCAAUCCAUCCUAGCCGAUAACCCUUAUGAGCUACCUCAUCUUAAUGUUUCUCUCUCUCUCGUUGACCUUCUUCUUCCCUCACUCUUUUGUUACAUUGGGCAUUCUCUUCGGUGCUCAUUUUAUUUCACAUCAAAGCACAACCAGUGCAUCACGAGGUUUAAGGCGUUAUAAAUUUGAGGGAAGGGAAGGGUAGGGAUGGAUGUGGUUUCGCACUACCUAAAAUGAGGUGGCUCAUAAAGGUUGGGGCCAAUCAUAUAAAGAAGCAAUUUGGUAACAAAAGUAGUGGACUACGUUGCU
rnacentral:lncRNA from 1 species